UGACGGAGGGGGCUAGCGUUGUUCGGGAAUUACUGGGCGUAAAGCGCACGUAGGCGGCUUUGUAAGUUAGAGGUGAAAGCCCGGGGCUCAACUCCGGAAUUGCCUUUAGACUGCAUCGCUGAGAAUUGUGGAGAGGUAAGUGGAAUUCCGAGUGUAGAGGUGAAAUUCGUAGAUAUUCGCAAGAACACCGGUGGCGAAGGCGGCUCACUGG
rnacentral:rRNA from 1 species